rnacentral:tRNA from 1 species
GCGGAUAUCGUAUAGUGGCAAUACCCAAGCUUCCCAAGCUUGUGCCAAGGGUUCGAUUCCCUUUAUCCGCUCCA